CAGGCUGGGCCUUGCACGCACACCCUUGGCCUUGCACGCUCACCCUGGGUCUUACACACUCACCCCUGGGUCUUGCACACUCACCCUGGGUCUCGCACGCUCACCCCCAGAGCCUUGCACGCUCACCUGUGGCCUUGCACGCUCACCCUGGGUCUUGCACACUCACCCUGGGUCUCGCACGCUCACCCCUGGGUCUCGCACGCUCACCCCCAGAGCCUUGCACGCUCACCCCCGAAGCCUUGCACGCUCACCCGUGGCCUUGCACUCUCAUGCUCCCCCUGGGUCCUGCACGCUUCCGCUCACCCCGGAGUCUUGCACGCUCACCCCCAGAGCCUUGCACACUCACCCCCAGGCCACACACGCUUGCUCUGGGCCAUGCGCGCUCACACUCACCCCUGAGCCAUGCUCUGUCCUCCCCCACCCUGGGCCUUGCACGCUCACGCUCAGCCCCACCGCCGUGCACGCUCAGCCUCCCGCCUCCGGUCGUGCACACUCACCUGCGAAGCCAUGCACGCUGCAGCUGUGCACGCUCGCUCCCCCAAGCCCGGCACACUCGUCUCCAGAGCCUUGCACGCUCCCUGCCUCCCCUAGAGCCUUGCACGCUCGUCGCCAGCCAUGCACACUCACCCCCCAAGCUGUGCACACUCAGUCACCCCCAAAGCCCUGCACACUCACCCUUAGAGCCUUGCACACUGACUGCCAGCCGUGCACACUCAGCCCCGAGCUGUGCACGCUCACCCUCACCCCCCCAGAGCCUUGCACGCUCCCUGAGAGCCCUGCACACUCCCUGUCACCUCCAGAGCCUUGCACGCUCACUGUCAGCCCCAGAGAUGUGCACGCUCACUGCUAGCCUUGCACACUCAGCCCCCAGCCUUGAACACUCACUGUCACCCCUGGAGCCUUGCACAUUCACCGGCAGCCUCACACACUCACUGUCAGCCCCAGAGAUGUGCACACUCACCCCCCAGCCUUGCACACUCACUGUCACCCCUGGAGCCUUGCACGCUCCCCAGCAGCCUCACACGCUCCCUAUCAGCCCCAGAGAUGUGCACGCUCACUGCCACCCCGAGCUUUGCACACUCACCCCAGAGCCUUGCACACUCACUCUCACCCCCCCCCUUAACCUUGCACACUCACCCCCAGCCUCACACGCUCCCUGUCAGCCCCAGAGACGUGCACGCUCACUGCCAGCCUUGCACACUCACCCCUCCUCCUUGCACACUCGGCGCCCCCUCUCUUUGCACGCUCGCCCCCGGCUUUUGCACACUCGCCCC
rnacentral:lncRNA from 1 species